UACGUAGGGUGCAAGCGUUGUCCGGAAUUAUUGGGCGUAAAGAGUUCGUAGGCGGUUUGUCGCGUCUGCUGUGAAAACGCGAGGCUCAACCUCGCGCCUGCAGUGGGUACGGGCAGACUAGAGUGCGGUAGGGGAGAUUGGAAUUCCUGGUGUAGCGGAUGGAAUGCGCAGAUAUCAGGAGGAACACCGAUGGCGAAGGCAGAUCUCUGGGCCGUAACUGGACGCUGAGGAGCGAAAGCGUGGGGAGCGAACAGG
rnacentral:rRNA from 1 species